rnacentral:misc_RNA from 1 species
UUUCGUCUGUUGGUUGCCUGCCUUGCGCUUGAGCUUGGUUGGUGGCUUUUAGCCGGGUGAUCUCGGGGACGUCUGCCGUAAAGGUGCAUGAGUGGUGUUUGGUUUGUUACGGGUGGUUGGCUCUUUGCUUGCGCAACAACUUCCACCUGGCAUACCUCUUCAUUUUUGCUUCAGUGCACGUAUCGCAUUGAACGCAUCAUGGGUUUCUUGUGUUGCCUGCCUAAUUUAAGGUAUCGUCUGAUGAAUUCGUGGCCACAUUCGUCUUGGGUCGCGCAUGCGAUGCGAGAUGAACCUCAAAGUGUCCUCUGUGAUCCACUCUAUCAAUUGAUUGUUUAGGUGGCUCACAAUGGGUUGCUUGGUCUCAUCGGUAUGGAACAUUGUUUGGGCAGGAGAUCUUUUAGCAUCUCCUUGUUUGCCCUAGUUAAGCUUUUCAAAUACGAUUUCCUAUCACGUCUCAACGUGAUAGGCAACAUCGAACAUGAAUG